rnacentral:tmRNA from 1 species
GACUAUGAACAUAAACGCGCUCGUAAUAAUCGGAUCGGACCCGGGGGCGGUACCCGGCGACUCCACCAAACAUCCUUCAUUUGGGGAUCAUGGGGUCGAAACAGGAUCGACGAACGCCUAAAGGGGUUAGCUUUGUUUCGGUGAGUUACCACCGUUAUCGGUACAAAUUGUAUAGUUGCAAAUGACAACCGUGCUCCAGUAGCUCUCGCAGCGUAAGCUGUGCGAAAUACUGAAAAUUAAGUCCUUACGCCUAGCCGCGUAAGGCGGGGUUCGGAGGUACCU